CUUCUUGCUCACAGCAUAAAGCUGAGUUCCCUCUGGCCUCUGCAGGUUGUCUCAGCACCAGGAACCCGUGUCUCGGAAGAGACAUCACUCCAGUGACAGGCUUUCUGGGGUGGAUGGACUCAGAAAGAGCAACCAGGAGGCUAUGAACACCUCCAGGAUAUCCAGGUGUUCUUACUGGAGUUGGUAGCCAAUGGAAGUGACCAUACAAGAAAGGCACCAGUCUAUUUCUCUUUUCCUGCCGCCCUCAACUCAAUUUCUGUUAAUCAGCUUCCUUGGCUAGCCUCCACCCAGCUUCAGGGGCUGAGCCAAGGUCCACUCAGAGCUCCUAUAUGGGAGGCUCUGGGAAGCUCACCAAAUACUUUUCAGCAACCCUUCCAGGGUCACAUCUCCAGGAGGAUAUUAUCUCUCCACAGAAGUCCCUGGCCCAGCCUCCUGCAGUGCCACGCUCCGUGUAUUUGACAAGCUGAGUUGGACACUCAGUGUGGUAGAGUGUCAGUUUGUCAAAUACCCCAAGUGCGGCACAUGCCUAGCAGCUCCAGGCCAGAGCAGAUGGGAUACAACAAAUAGACUGCCGGCUGGAUACAAGAAUGCUUACCAAACACCAAGCUCUCGGAAAUUAUCUUCCACGACUUUGAGGGAACUGAGGCAUUAAAUCCAAGGGUGCCAGGGCAAAAGUGAGAGCUACAGCCUCGGCUAUGUCUACACACAUUGUUUGAGUGCUGAGGGAGGCACAAUAGUCUUGAAAAGGUGUAAGGUAUAAGGGGCCCAGUGAUAGAAGUGCUCUUUGAUUUAUUAUUCUUUUCUUCCUUCACAUUCUCCUUCCAGAACCUCCCAGCUAGGACACCAGAAUUCUCACACAAGCAUCAUAGCUGGCUUAUGUGAGAAAGCAGGGCUUAGAAACCCACUUUCCUGAUAGUCUCAGCUCCUAAACACAGCUUGGCCUUGUCUACUUCCUUCCUUUUCCUCAUGCCUUUUAUUCUUCUAGGAACACCUCCAUUUCUUUCCGCUUAUCAAUUCUUCCCCACAUUUCUUGGUCUAGCCAAAGUUCAGACUCUCCAGGAACUUUUGAAAGUCAACCUGUGCUUUUUCCUUCUCCAUUCGCAAAGCACUGCUUGCCCAGGUCCUGUUAUAUGUCCCUUUAUCUCUUACUUCCCCGUAGCACCUCUUGAAUCGUUAACAAACUCUUGCAGGAGAUAUUCUUGAAUUCCCCAGUAGAUUGUGAGCUUCUAGAAGACAAAAUUAUAUUUGAUCACUGUUUCCUUCAACCUCCCACAAUCCAGUACUUUGGUAACAGAAAAUACUCCAUAAAUGUUUACUGAUUGAUUGACUUUACACUAGUGCAUUAGCUUUGGGCCUUUGGGCCAAAUGCCAUGUCAGAUUUUGUUUAAAAAAAUCAAACUGUGGAUAGCACAAUGCUAUAGGGCAUGCAAGGUAGUAGCCAACAUGGAAAGUUUUUUUCUUUCUGAGAAAUAGGGCCAAAGGUUGGAGGAGGAGGGCAAAAAAGUACUCGCAGAGGGAAAAUAAGUUUUGGAAUUACUUGGUCACACAAAGUUAUACAGGUGAUUUAUUGUAGAAUUUUUCAGACCCUUUAAUAUUCUAGUGUUACACUGGGAACCCCAAAGAGAGACCUUUGCCAUGCCUAUCUGAUCAUGGAAAUUUUUUUUCAUGUGCUAGCUCCUUGGUCAUUGUUUCAUGGAACAAAAUUUGGGAAAGUGCCCUAGGGAAACUUCAUACCUUUCCUCUUUUCUGGAGAUAUUCCCUUCUUUUCACUCCUCUGCUUUUCCCUGAGCAGCCACCUGCCUAAGACAGGUCUCCUGUUAUCACCCCAUUUUUGUUUAGCUUAUCCUACAGCUUUGGGCUACUUCUAUUCCUAGGAAUCCCUUACUGGCUUAUAUUGUAUGGAAAAAAUUAUCAGUUUGGGGGCAAGGGUGACCUCCAGAAGUUUCCUGUUGUAAUAAAUAUAUGAUUCUAGGCGUU